rnacentral:lncRNA from 1 species
AUUUUUUUUUAUUAUUUUAUUUUUUUUCAUCCUCCACCUUUCCUCCCACUCUCCCUCCCACUACACCCACUACCCACUACACCUACUCCUACACAACAAUACAUUCGUCCACUCCUCUCUGUCUGCCAUAUCUCAAUUAUAUUAAACCCAAAGAAAUUCAAGUGCAGAGGUAAGUUUUGAGCUUUGUAUUCCCUCAUUUCUUUCCAUUAUUCAUCCCACAAGUAUUGAGAAACCAAUAUGGCAGCUCUCUUCCAUUACUUCGAUCAGAGGGGUACUAGUAGCAAAUCCAGCAACUACACCUUUCAAUUUCAGUAACACAAAUCAAAGGUUUCAUCUAUGAAUUUCCUCCGUUCAUUUACACUUGCUCAUACUUAGAACACUUUAAUUGCAGUACCACAAACAUUUUCAGACUUCAAAUUCAUGAUAAGCAAUACACAAACCUUUUCAUCUACAUAGGUAUACAUAUCGAUUAUGCUUAUAUGAAAUCACUCAGAAUUUAUAUAUGUACAUACGCAUAUUUUGAGUAUAACUAUUUUUUUUACAAGAGAUUGAAUGAGUAUAAAAACCUACUGGAAUAAGAGAGAAGAAAGAUGGAGUCUUGAGUUUUGAUUUUUGCUUGUCUAGCCUGAGUGUUUUGGGNCAUCUGAGUGGGGAGUCGGUCCGGUGAUGAUGGCAGAGAGAGGUGAGGCGUCGGGUCGGGCAGUCUAGUGAGCCGAGAGAGAUACCGAGGGAGGCGGCGGCGCUCGUCGUCGCCAAGGGGGAUUCAAGGGAGCUGGUGGCAGCGGCUUGUCGGCGCUGCUCCUCUGGCGAGCUCCACGGUGGACGGCUGUUACCAGCCGAAGAGAGAGAGAUCAGAGGGAGAUGGGAGAUUGCCGGCAGCUAUUGUCGCCGGAGAAGGGGGCGCGGCUGCGGCUUGGCGGCGGCAGGGGGAGACCGAGGGGGGGCGUGAAUCUGAGAGAGAGAGGGAGACGAGCAGGGGGGGAUGAGUGAAUGAAAAGUGAGUGUUUGUGCGUGUGUUGCGGCUGAUGGGGGGGAUGAAGGCUAGGUGUUGGGCUAGGGUGAGGGUUGGGCUUUGGGGAUGGGUUUGAAUUUUCGAAUUGGGCUUGAAUUGGGCCGAUUUUAAUUGAGUAUUGGGCCGAGUAUUUGGGCCGAUUUUUUUUAUGAGUGAUGGGCUCCAAUUUUUAAAUAGAUUUGGGCUGCGAUUUUUAAAAGCUUGGGCCGAUUUUUAAUUUUAUUUAGUGGGCCGAGUUUUGUUUAUUAAAUCAGUUGGGCCCUUGGUUUUAAUAUUUGUGAUGGGCCUUAAUUCAAUUAUUUAAAAGAUGGGCCUAUUAUUGUUUUAUUAAAUUGGGC